rnacentral:rRNA from 1 species
UACGAAGGGGGCUAGCGUUGCUCGGAAUCACUGGGCGUAAAGCGCACGUAGGCGGACUCUUAAGUCGGUGGUGAAAUCCUGGAGCUCAACUCCAGAACUGCCUUCGAUACUGAGAGUCUCGAGUCCGGGAGAGGUGAGUGGAACUGCGAGUGUAGAGGUGAAAUUCGUAGAUAUUCGCAAGAACACCAGUGGCGAAGGCGGCG